rnacentral:misc_RNA from 1 species
GGAUAUGAGGAGAGAUUUCAUCCAUUGCACUCCGGAUGAAACACCGAAGAAGUAAAUCUUUCAGGUAAAAAGGACUCAUAUUGGACGAACCUCUGGAGAGCUUAUCUAAGAGAUAACACCGAAGGAGCAAAGCUAAUUUUAGCCUAAACUCUCAGGUAAAAGGACGGAG